ensembl:lncRNA
UAAAAUGAACAUAAGGUCUAGAACUAUCAACAUUUAAGACAAAUAUCCUUAUCAUCAUGGUAGCCUUCAUGUGAUUUCUAUGAGCAAUCAAAUUGAGAGAGGCAAAAAAAAAAAAAAAAAAACAAAACCAAAAACGAGUCUUGCAGUGUAUUGAUUUUAAUAAAUUGGUAACAUUUCACCCAAACAGGUAUAUAAAUCCGAUAUAUUUAGAGCUCUAUAUAAAAGUGUGGUUUUACAAAGCGUAGUUUCUACACCAUUGUUGAAGAAUUUGGAUGAAUGGAAAUAAUUUGCUUUUGAGAAAUUAAUUUUAUGAAUAGCUAAAGGGGCUGGUUGCGUCUGAGACUAAAAUUCUGCUGGAGAAUUAGGCUAACAAAGGGUGAAGGUGAAGAUCAUGAGAGGUUUUAGAGCUGGCUGAGACGGGCUGGUUGGGUUGUGUAACUGUGCCUAGAGGGCGGGGUUCCUGUACAUUCCUACUUCACCAGAUAACCUGCCCCUCAACACCACUCCAGCUUCUGCCAGAAGGAUGGGACUCUCCAACGUGAAAAUCUGGGCAGCCAUUCCAACAAACAGGGGCUCUGGCCGAGGUUGUUGUCCGCUGGAAGCCGAGAAAAAGCUCUUGAGAAUUGGGAGCGCUCAUCCUCCGAGAUGGGAUGAAGACGGAGUUCACUUCAGUCUGAAAUUUGUUUCCUGGAGGCAGUAGAGCAUUCCUCUGAUUUCUUGUUUCACUGAUUUAAUGGAUGAUCCCUUCCAGCCCAAUUCAAGUUUCCAAAUACAGACUCCAUUGGUCUAAUAUGGAUGUGCAAGAGUAUGGAAUUCAGGGUUGAAUGGAAUUAAGAUCUAUAUACAUUUUCACCAAGCCAAGAUAAAGGAAUUUCAUUCUUUAAACAUUCACAUUCUACUAUAAAAACAGGAGAGAGGUUUACUCAUUGAUCAGUACAGUGAAGGUUGACAUGAACAUCCACUUUGCAUCAAAGGAUAUCCACGAAUUGGUGUGCUGAUGGCAAACAGAAGUUUCCAAGCAAGAUGGAACCUGGGAGGAACAAUACUCCCCCAGUGCUCAUGAUGUGUCUCCAGAAAAAAUUGUUUAACCAUUCUUUAAAAGAAAAUUCUUCCCCCUACAGUAUCUUCCAGACUCUAAACUACAGUAUAAGUUCACAGGUUCACUCAGAUCACUUCCAUGUCUGAGUUCUUGGUCAUCUUCCCACACUUUGGCUCCACAGAUAAAAAAUAAAUAAUAAUAAAGGAAUAACUUUUUUGUUUUUGCCUCAGUAAAUCAUUUUAGUGUUGAAACACCCUGGUGGAUUAAUUAGGCUUAUUCUUACAUUUCCUACCCCCAAGCACUUGUGCAGUGUUCCUGUUGGCACUGGCCUCAUUGGAAAGAGGAACACUUGCACUGCAGGCCUGGAUGUUGCUCUUGAAGCCUAUGAUUCUGUGGUAGCAUAAAUCUAGAAAAAGCUUAGUUUUUUUUUCAAUUGAUGGGGCAUAAGAGGAAACACAGAACCAUCUCUCCCUUACAUUUUAUGCCAGCUUUCAUUUAUUCUGGGCCAUACCUCUUUCCAGAGCAAUGUUUCUUGCUUAGUAUGAGAUUUGGUACCAUUAUAAAGAGACAUAGUACCUCUUGUAGGAGUUUAGAGAGUUUUAUCCAUGGAAUCAGAUGUGUCUCAAGAUGAUUAACUGAAUCCUGUGAAUAUGCUGCCUCUAGCUCACUGCAAACAACUGCUAUUUUUUAUCCUUGGUCAUUUCUCAUAACAGGGAGGAUUUUCAGUGUACAUUAUCUUAUCCUGGAAUUAAUUGUUUCAGUUUUCAUUGGUUGUUUUGGAUUGUAAUGAGAACAGUAGCAGCAAGAAAUCUGAAAGAAAGUGCUUUUGUUUGUUAAACUUCAAGAUCAAUGCAAAGUAGAUAUGCACAAACAUGUGCAAAGUUAUAUAAAAGAACAGAUCAAUUUCUCUGCAACAACAUUUGACUUAAACUAACUGAAGGCAUUAGCAUAUCCACAGAAAAAUAUUAGUCAUAAACGCAGAUAAAGGAAAGUAUAAAAUGAUUUUAAAACAACACAUUCAAAUUUAUUUUCGAGAAAAGGGAAAGAACUUCAUUCCACUGGACUUCAAUGCCAGUGACAGGGCCAAUCCUAUUGUGAAUGAAUAUCCAGCAAUUUAAACUUGAUACUACCAACCAUUCUAUCUAUAAAAAUACCUUCAAUCUGAAUCCAUGUUUUUUAAAUAUGCUGAUUAUUAUUUCGCUCUCAAAUUAGUUCUGCUCUUAGAAAACACACUAAUUACAGACAUUUCUAUACUAUUUAUAAUGGUAGUUACUUUAAAGUGAGCAAUGUCCCAGGCUUAAAUUGUUUAUUAUAAAGGAAUAACUUAAUUUCUGGUUCAAAACAUUAGUGAUUAUCAUGCAACUAUGUUGGAAAGAAGGAUAGCUUUUGGGCAUGCCAAUUAGAGUGACAAUUUUCAGUAGGAGAGGCAGAUUCAAGACUGUCGAGUCCAGCUCUUCCUUGUCAGUCUUUCCUGUGACAUAAAAAAAUCCAUAUAUAACUAUUUAAUUCUAAUUGUGGCAAGAAGUUAGUAGUUGAAGUAAAUUACUAUUGUUUAAACAGUAACUUUCCAACCUCAAAUACUAUCCACAAUGCAAUAACGUACACUUAGAAUACAGGGAUGGAGUCAAAAAAACCAAAUGAAUCCUGGGUUUACUACUUAGCUGUGAAAUCAUCGUAAUUUUUAAAGGCAUCAACUUUCUCUGCCUCAUAUUAUUAAAACCCUCAUAUAGGAAAUUAAGUGAGAUGAUUCACAUAAAGUGCUUAGCACUAUUCCCAGAUUAAGAAUGUCAAUACAGUGAAACAUCCUCUGGCUCCAGUUAAAAUAGCUAUUAUCAAAAAGGACAAAAAUAAGAAAUGUUAGCAAGGAUGCAGAGAAAGGAGAGAUAACUCUAAUACACUGUUGGUAGGAAUGUAAAUGAAUAUACCAGUUAUAGAAAACAAUAUGGGGAGUCCUCAGAAACCAGGUAUAGACUUGCCAUAUAAUCCAGCAGUCCCAUUACUGGAUAUACAGCCAAAGGAGCUAAAAUCAAUAUAUUGAAGAAAUAUUGGCACUUACAUGUUCAUUACAGCAUUCUUCAUAACUGCCAAGAUGUGGAAUCAACCUAACUGUCCACCAAUGGAUGAAUGAAUAAAUAAAAUGUCAUAUACAUACAUAUGCAGAAUGGAAUAGUAUUUAUUCAGCCACAAAAAAAUAAUAAAAUUCUUACAUUUGUAGCAACAUGGUUGCUAUGCUAAGUGAUAUAAGUCAAGCACAGAAAGCCAAUUCUACAUGUAUUCACUUACAAAUUGAAGCUAAAAAGUCAAUGUCAUAGAAAUAGAGAGUAGAAUUUUACUUACCAGAGCCUCAGGAGGGUAGGUGGAGGGGGGAUAGAGAGGUUACGGUUAGCAGAUAUGGGAGAGCAGUUGGAUAGGAGGAACAACUUCUAAUGUUCUAUAGCAUAGUAGGAAACUUGUGAUUGAAAACAGUUAAUUGCAUGUUUCAAAAUAGCUCCCAGAGAGGGUUUUUAAUAUUUGUAAAACAAAGAAAUGAUAAAUUUUAAGGUUAUAGAUAUGUCAGUUACCCUAUUACACAUUGUAUGCAUAUUGAAAUGUCACAUUUUACACCAUAUAUCUGUGUACAACUUUGUGCCAAUUAAAAAUAAAAUACAUUUUUAAAGAAAUUAGUAGAAAAUAAUGCUUUAAGUAUUUAUCACUGAGUGGUAAAAUUAUAAAGAUGAAAUAAUAAAUAUAAAUAUAAGGAUAUUAUAAUGAUAAUAAAGAUAAUAUUAUAAAGAUAAUAAAAAUUCAGGAUGGGAAGUUGAAGCAUGACUUUCAUAGAUACCAGUUGAACAUUUGAGCUCAUACAAUUUCUAGAGCUUAUUCUUACUCGAAUAUUUACUUUCCAUACAGUUAUCACCUUUGCUUUUAUCUGAAGUCACAGAUAUUCUUUCUGUCCCAUAUAAAUAUUUAUUAUUCAUAAUAUUAGAGGAAUAAAUUAAUGGAUGAGUGAUCUAGCCUCUCAUUAAUCUUAGUGGCUCAAUGCUGUCGUACAUUGGAUGUGACAUGGGAAUGAGUCUCUGCUCCAUUCAUUACAGUUCAGACAUUCAGGUACCUAGGAGUGACAGUGCCAUCUUUAGGGCCCUGGACUAUCCCAGUCCAUAUUCUGGAUUGGGUAGGGAAGGAAAAAAGUUUAUUAAGGAUCUUGAAGUAUUAUCCCUUACUUCCAUCAGCCUGGAGUCGAACACAUUGCCCAUAUAAUUGCAGGGAAAGUUUGGAAUGUUAUUUAGCUGUGUAUUUAGGAGCAAGUGGAAUGGAUUUGUUGAACAUUUAGCAGUAUGUCUUGGCAACCAACCCAAAAUAGCCACUGAUAAAAUUAAGUCUUGUGAUUCUUCUCUAAAUUUUCAUCAAUUGGUUAAAGAUUGUAAGAAACACUUGGCUACAAAAUUAAGUUUCAGAUAAUUUUAUAGAGCAAUAUAUUUUAUGUUAGAAAGUCAUUGUCAACAGUGGCAUCAAGGGAGGCUUUCUAGUGUCAGCCGAUAAGUUUUUGUUCCUCUGAAAUUCUCUUGGUAACUUUUGUAGAGCAUUUAUCCCACUUUAUUUCUACUUAAAGCUCAUAUAUGUAAAAGAGAUUAUAUCCUCAAAUGAGCAUUUCCCUUGCUUUUAUCAUCAUGUGUCAUUAUCCCUACAUUCUUUUAUUAUAGUUGUUAUUGAGAGCAUACUUGCUGAUUUAGCAUUGAGAUUAACUGUAAAAUAAGUAAAUAGCAAAUUGUUUCUUGGAAGUAUAAAAGUCAAUGCUUUUAAGAGAUUUUUUUCAUUGUUAUCUGCUAUUUCUAAGUGACUACAAUACUCAGAAAGAAGUGGAUGACAACCUUGGAUUGAAGAAUUUUGUUUCUACAAAGAAUUGCUGUAACAGUAAACUUCAUGUGCAGCGUUAGCUUUGCUAUGAUAUGCCAAUCAAUGUACAUCAUUUUUAGAAGUUCCACUUCACCGAAGAAAGUUGCUAUAUUAAAAUAAUAUUCUGCACAUGGAGAUCCAGGUUUUCCUGAAUAAAAGACCUCUGAUGUUUUCAUCAUGGUGGUUACUAAUGAUGGUAAAGGAAACUGAUUUAAAUUUCCUGCUUAUUUUACAUUUUACCUAACAAAUUGCAGAUGAUAAGAGAGUAUUCCACAAAAUACAUUUUGGCAAUUCCAAUAAUCUGAUGGAAACUGUACAUUAAUGAUUUCUUUUUUACUAAAAUAGUUUAAAUUAUAUUAAUACUAUUUUAUAAGGAAUAAAUUUUUCAAUUAUUUUCUCAUAUUUAAAAUGGUCUUAUAUCUUGAUAUUUUUACUAGAGAUCAAACUAUCCUUUAUCCACGAUUAACCAAAAGAGAUAUUUGUGAUAUGUAUUAAAGUAUUUUUUUUUUUGGUGGCACUGGAGAUUAAACCAAGGGCUGUCACAGUGAGUAAUGUCACUAGCUCUUUUUACAUAUUUUAUUUUGAGACAAUCUCACUAAGUUGCUAGGUUGACCAGCCUGGGUUUGAACUUGUGUCCCAGACUGCUGACAUUACAGGCAUUUGUUAACAUGCCUGGCUUACUAAAAUCCAUUCUAAAAUGAUAAUUUUAGUCAUUAAGUAAAGACAUUCUUUAGAUGAUUAUAUAUUCAUGUGUGUACUUGUUUUUAGUAGUUAAAGCAUUAAUUAAUACUUCUUAUAUGUAUUAUUGUCUUCUAACCACUUUUUGGUGUACUUUAUAAUGUAUUAUAAAAUUAACUUGCUGCAAAUUAAAAAUCAUUAGUGUUCAAAAUAACAUCAUAAUUUUAGUUUUUAUGUUAGCCUACCUGCUGCUUUUAUUAAAUAAAUAAAUGUCAAAAAUACCCACUUACAUAAUUUCUAUUACUGUAAAUGUAUAUUAGUUACUUGAAUAAAUCUGUGGAAGAAUGUUACUAAAUAUACCUUUUAAAAAAGUAGAAAUUAGCAUUUUUACUAUUUUAUCAAGUAGAAAUAUGUUACUAGUCAUAUAAAAACAAUGAUGAAAUAUUUCUAGCAUUAUUUAUUAUAAAACCUUUUGACAUUAUCUGGCAUUACAUACAGCUCUUUAUUGGUCAUUUUAUGUCACACUACUAAUUCUCUUAAUAUUUAGGAAUAAUGAUUGAUGAAGAUUUACUGACGAAAACAAUCUGAGUUAUUUUAGUCUUAAUAAAAUGACCCUCAAAUUUUCAUUUACUAUAGUGAAUGUGAACUUGUUGAAAAAUUUUAAAGCUUUCAGUCUACUUGGAUAUGAACUACUGAGUAUUCAUUUAAGGAAGUAUUAUCUUGAGUGCACAAGUUGUAUAUGAGAUUUCAUACAUUGGGUUUAAGUGCUCUAGAUAAGCUAUUUUAUUCCUUUUGUUUGAUAUCACUGUUUUUAUAUUAUAGAAAAUAAAUAUUUUGGUUUAAGGUUUUUUCAUAUUUGGCAAAAAUAAUUUUAGGCCUAGAUCAGUUAAGCAGAAAUUAUUUAGCAUUUGAUGUUGAGAACAACAUAAAUGCUAAUUAAAAUUCAUUGGCAAAUCAUUUAAGGUUUUAUGUAAGUUGACUUCAAGACAUUUUCUUCCAAAACAGUUGUUACAUUUCCCCAUGUUUCCUGCAUGAUGGAUUUUGAAUUUAGCAUCUGACAUGUUUUCUCAACUAUUGGUUUAUAAUGAAAACAUGUAGGUACUCCAGGGAAUGUGUUAAAAGCAAAAUCUUCUAUGAUCCUUGAAAGGUAAAUGACAGCACUAAGAUUGCCACAUCUGGAUCAGAAAUAUUUUGCCUGUUUAUCUAAUGAAACAAACACAAAUAGAGAUAAUUAAGAUGUUAACAAUGAAUGUUUUAACAAACAACUUAUGCUUUGAUUAGGUCAGACUGUAAUUUUUUAUUUUUUUUCUUCCCAG